CGAGCAUGUGCAUGAUAAAAAAUAAAUAAACUUUUAGAGUCGGCUGUACCAAGUGUGUUGAAGUUUAUACUUUUAACCAACACUGUACAGCCGGCUCAGUUGUUUACAUUUAAACUACUACAAGCAAUGUUGCCAAGUCUAGAGACCUGUUGCUGCUCCUUGGUUGCUGGUUUGGCUCGGUUGAUGUGUUGCUUGUUCACCAGAUCGACUACGCCGGCAAAGAUCGGUCAUUAAUUAAAUUUCAUCAAACAACGACGUCAUCAAUGUAUGAAUUUCCGUGGAACUUUUUAGGUAGAUUUUUAUAGAAAUCUAACUAUUGUAGCCGGUCUCAUGUUGUCAUUUUAGGAAAAUUUUAUCAUAAUAUGUUUGGCAUUGGCUCAAAAGUUUAUAUAUGUAUUUAUGUAUGCAUAUAACGCGCGAUGUCAGCAGGAUUGCGUCCAUAGUUCUCAACCGAUCUUUAUGAAAUUUUGUGGGCUUAUUCUGUGGAUCAAUACCAAGAUCAAGUUCGAAGAUGAGCAAAAUCGGCUGGUUAGUUUACGAGUUGUGGGAGUUUGAAAAUUUUUUUCAUUUUCAAAAAAUUUUGAAUUUUGUAUUUUUUAUGAAAAUAAUCUUCUAGAUGUAAAAGAUAGAUAAAGUCUAUCAAAUUUAU